rnacentral:lncRNA from 1 species
CCUAAAAUAUACAGGGUAAUUUUCUUUAAAUUUAAACAAAUUUUAAUGGUUGCAACAAAAUUAAAUUGUUAGUGACCUGUAGGUAAAUAGAACUCUGGUUGUUUGGAUUGCUUCCCUCGAUUUGUCCCAUUUCUCUAUUACUGACUUACAUCUCUUCUAGUAUGUACUUUCAUAUGACAUUUCAAAUGACCAUUCUGAGAAAACUGCUUAGAACAAAUCUCGCACUUGUAAGGUUUUUUUUUUCAGUGUGCACUCUUAAAUGUAUUUUCAAAUCACUUGCACCACAAAAUUGUUUUAAGCAAGUUUCACACUUGUAUGGUUUUUCCCCAGUGUGCCACUCUCAAAUAUUCUUUCAAAUGACCUGCCUAAAUUGCUUAAAACAAAUUUCACACUUGUGACGUUUUUCUCAAGCGAGCCAUAGCAAAUGUCUUUUCAAAUCACUUGCAAUACGAAAUUGUUUCAAGCAAGUUUCACACUUGUAUGGUUUUUCUCUAGUGUGCGUUAAAACAGUUACAAGAAUUAAAGUUUUUAUUUACAUCUAAUCAAACAAAAUUUAUAAUUCAGAUUACUACAGCCUAAAAUAUACAGGGCAAUUUUCUUUACAUUUAAACAAAUUUUAAUGAUUGCAAAAAAUUAAAUUAUCAGUGACCUAUAGGUAAAUAGAACUCUAGCCAAUAAUGGAUUAACGAUUAUUUCCAUUGUUAUUCUUCAUUACCUUUUUAAAUAAUAUAAAUCUAACUACAGAUACUUCAAAAUUUUUUAUACAAAAUUAGUUUUUAAAAAGUAUUUAUAACUAAUUUUUUGCAGAAUAUGUACUAAUUGUUCAUGAUUGACAUUGUCAAAAGAUUUUCUAAAAUACACAAAGCACAAAUACACAUCCUUAUCAACAUCUCUACACCGCUGUAUAAGCACCUGGAGAGCGAAAAUUGCCUCUCUAGUUCUAUGUAAGUGCUUUUUGAAAACCAUACUGCGAUCUGUCAAAUACUGUCAAUAUUUGACUCACAUUUAUCAUAUAUUUAUAUCAUAGAAUUACAUAUUAGCAUAGAGAGAGUGUCAUUCAGAGCGAAGUGACGACACCAUCUUUUUUAUUUGGAUUAGUGCUGUUUCACUCUUACGCAUAGUAAAGCUGCUACAGUUGUCCUCCCCUUCCGUGCCUAUACUCAUACUGAAUGUCAUCACAGAUUCUCGAUACAAUGUGUUAGAAAGAGAUCCCGCAAACCAGUCCAUGAGAUCUUGUCGUCAGGAAGCGCGGAAAGUAGACUCACUCUAUGUUAAUAUAUACCUCUAUGAUUUAUAUUCUUCUACGAAUGACCUUGGUGAACGCUUUAGUGAUAUGAUUGAUAAGCUUAUAAAUCGGUAGUUAUCAGAGAGCUGGACAUUUGGUUUCUUCGCGAUUGUAAUCAAUGUCGAAUGCAGCCAGUUCUCCGGAAUUUUACCGCGAUUAUAUAUGUUGUUCAAAAGUACAACUAGAUUAUCAAGGAAUUGUUUGUCUGAUUUACAAAGGAUCUUUAAUAUUUCGUAUAAUAUUACAUCUGCUGAUAUUUUUCUGCAUUUUUAUUUUUGAAUUUGCGUCUUUCAUGCAUUAUAUUAACUCUGUUAACCAAAGUAGUGCGAGAAGGAGAACUAUAUGGCCUUAAGGUGAAU